GUUUCCUUUAGAGAGUUAAUUUGCCAAUACUUUCCAUAUUGAGUUCUGUAUUUAAACUGCCUCUUCUGUCUCUGGCACAUUACUGAGAGCAGAUGGAGUCUCUUGCCAGCAGCAAUUUUUUUUCCCCCUUCUUCUUUAAGCUGCCUAUGAUUUAACCAAUAACCUGCUGGAUGUACUUGCAUUACACCAUGUUCUCUAUCUGCAUGCCUUGUUGUGGGCUCAAUUUUAAUGGUGAUGCCCCUCCAUUGUCGAUUUUGUAACCUUGUAUACCAUUCCCGUUGCCCAUGCUUUUAAUGAUAUCUCUUCUGGCAACUGUUUCCGAAUACUCUCCUGUCUGUCAUUUUCCCGUGUUUUUCAACGUUCCACGUGCUCCCUGCUUGAUCUCCUUUGGUUUUUCUUUCUGUGUUUGCUGCUGGCACAUCUUGUCCCUGAUCUCUUGUUCUAUCUGAUUGCCCUUGCACCCCCAAACUUGCUCACUUUUUGCUUUUCCUGACCGUGUGCAUCUAUGCUGCAUUCCCAACCAUUCUGUGUUUGUUGCUGGGGCUUGUCAUUCUGCGCUUUGCAUGUGUAUGUUAUGUUUGCUGGGUCUGUCACCCUUCACAGCACUGUCUGCCUGCCUGUUCUGUUUCUCUUUGGCACUGUCCCUGCCCGAUCCCACACCCUUCCUCUGCCUGCAUGCUCUCUCUCAAGC